CCCCAAUUGGCCUUUAAGGCAUUCUCUUCCAUUGGCCAAGAGCAUUCUCAUCUGCUCAGCAACUUUCUCCCAUUGGCCGGACCCUUGAUGCUGAGGCUUUGAAGCAGAGCCUGGGUUUUCCAGGCACUGCUGAUUAGCCGGGGGAAGAAAAGUAGGGUGUUGUAGCAAACCCUCCAGUUAGGACUUUGGGUCCCUAGGAGCUGACUGAGUCUGUUCAAGCAUUUUCUCUCUAGUGCCAGGCCUUUGGCUGAUUUAGGGGUGCUCCCCAAGAAGAUCAGGACUGCUGAAAGAAUGAAGAAGAACUUACUUGGCCUAGGAUGUGGCUAGAGAACGGAGCGCACUUUCACUUACCUGGCAAGGUGGUUUUGGAAGUUUCCACGGAAGCCUUCCCAGGGCCGCUGCUGCCCGUCCUCGCCUAGGUGUGGAGCUUCCCGACCGGCUGGGGAGGGAAUGUCCUGCGGGAGCCGCCGAGGACCCUCUUUAGCCUCUUCCCUGGCUUGGCUGCAGCUGCAGUCUGGUACUCGCCCAUUCUGCUCUUCUUCACCUCCGUAUUUUCUCUCUCACGGAAGAAGAAUUCCAUUCUCCCAUCCCAGGAAGGAGAGUGCCCUGCGUGCCACGAAAGAGCCCAGGACCCACAGGACAAAUACGUCACUGGCAGACCUGCCUUCGCCAGCGCCAGCCCAUCUCUGAAACCUCCAGCAUUUGUGCCCCGGUCCGGCCCCUCCCAGGCCUGACUCUUUCCGUGAACGGUCACUGCGCAGGAUCAAGCUACAAUGAAGAGGAGGGAGGCAGUCUGCGCGCACCGCCAUUUUCUAGGAACUGGGAAGCCCCCCCACCCCUUAGGAAGAUCCAUCCCUGUGGAACCUUGCCCAGGCUUACCAGCCUUUGCUGAGGUUGAUCUAUUGUCCCUCCUUGUCCCCAUCAAAAUAUCCAGCACUCCACCUUCAGGGAGUAGACUUGACCCUCAAAUAGCAAGUUCAGCCUUCCCAGGUCUAGGUUCCCUGGGAGGUCAAGAUUCGUCUGGUUCCUUAGUACAGAGGGCUAGCUGUGAGUUGGAAUCCCCCUAUGAGCUUUAGAAUCAGUCAAGAGGAAUUGGGCCCCUUCCCUUCAUCCCUCUUCUUUUCCCUUUUUGUCCCAGAGCUCAGCUCUGACUCAAAAGUUUUUCCAUUUACCAUCAACAUGGAAACUUGGCUCCUCACGUAGGUAUAUUAUCCCCCUUUUGUACAUGGUCUUGUUGAUCCAAACUCCCUUUCUGUGAAAGAGGCCUGUGGGGCUCAAGAAGCCUGGUCAGCCAGCCAGGCUAGUCCCACAUACCUCAGAACCAGUUUAAUAAAGGCUCUAUGUCAUUCU
rnacentral:lncRNA from 1 species